rnacentral:rRNA from 1 species
UUGUGUCUUCGAGUCGUUGAUUUCACACUGCCGAGAAAAGCCUCUAGAUAGAAAAUAGGUGCCCGUACCGCAAACCGACACAGGUAGUCAAGAUGAGAAUUCUAAGGUGAGCGAGCGAACUCUCGUUAAGGAACUCGGCAAAAUGACCCCGUAACUUCGGGAGAAGGGGUGCUCUUUAGGGUUAACGCCCAGAAGAGCCGCAGUGAAUAGGCCCAAGCGACUGUUUAUCAAAAACACAGGUCUCUGCUAAACCGUAAGGUGAUGUAUAGGGGCUGACGCCUGCCCGGUGCUGGAAGGUUAAGAGGAGUGGUUAGCUUCUGCGAAGCUACGAAUCGAAGCCCCAGUAAACGGCGGCCGUAACUAUAACGGUCCUAAGGUAGCGAAAUUCCUUGUCGGGUAAGUUCCGACCCGCACGAAAGGCGUAACGAUUUGGGCACUGUCUCAACGAGAGACUCGGUGAAAUCAUAGUACCUGUGAAGAUGCAGGUUACCCGCGACAGGACGGAAAGACCCCGUGGAGCUUUACUGUAGCCUGAUAUUGAAAUUCGGCACAGCUUGUACAGGAUAGGUAGGAGCCUUUGAAACGUGAGCGCUAGCUUACGUGGAGGUGCUGGUGGGAUACUACCCUAGCUGUGUUGGCUUUCUAACCCGCACCACUUAUCGUGGUGGGAGACAGUGUCAGGCGGGCAGUUUGACUGGGGCGGUCGCCUCCUAAAAGGUAACGGAGGCGCUCAAAGGUUCCCUCAGAAUGGUUGGAAAUCAUUCAUAGAGUGUAAAGGCAUAAGGGAGCUUGACUGCGAGACCUACAAGUCGAGCAGGGUCGAAAGACGGACUUAGUGAUCCGGUGGUUCCGCAUGGAAGGGCCAUCGCUCAACGGAUAAAAGCUACCCCGGGGAUAACAGGCUUAUCUCCCCCAAGAGUUCACAUCGACGGGGAGGUUUGGCACCUCGAUGUCGGCUCAUCGCAUCCUGGGGCUG